rnacentral:rRNA from 1 species
GAUGAACGCUGGCGGCGUGCCUAAUACAUGCAAGUCGAGCGAACGGACGAGAAGCUUGCUUCUCUGAUGUUAGCGGCGGACGGGUGAGUAACACGUGGAUAACCUACCUAUAAGACUGGGAUAACUUCGGGAAACCGGAGCUAAUACCGGAUAAUAUUUUGAACCGCAUGGUUCAAAAGUGAAAGACGGUCUUGCUGUCACUUAUAGAUGGAUCCGCGCUGCAUUAGCUAGUUGGUAAGGUAACGGCUUACCAAGGCAACGGUGCAUAGCCGACCUGAGAGGGUGAUCGGCCACACUGGAACUGAGACACGGUCCAGACUCCUACGGGAGGCAGCAGUAGGGAAUCUUCCGCAAUGGGCGAAAGCCUGACGGAGCAACGCCGCGUGAGUGAUGAAGGUCUUCGGAUCGUAAAACUCUGUUAUUAGGGAAGAACAUAUGUGUAAGUAACUGUGCACAUCUUGACGGUACCUAAUCAGAAAGCCACGGCUAACUACGUGCCAGCAGCCGCGGUAAUACGUAGGUGGCAAGCGUUAUCCGGAAUUAUUGGGCGUAAAGCGCGCGUAGGCGGUUUUUUAAGUCUGAUGUGAAAGCCCACGGCUCAACCGUGGAGGGUCAUUGGAAACUGGAAAACUUGAGUGCAGAAGAGGAAAGUGGAAUUCCAUGUGUAGCGGUGAAAUGCGCAGAGAUAUGGAGGAACACCAGUGGCGAAGGCGACUUUCUGGUCUGUAACUGACGCUGAUGUGCGAAAGCGUGGGGAUCAAACAGGAUUAGAUACCCUGGUAGUCCACGCCGUAAACGAUGAGUGCUAAGUGUUAGGGGGUUUCCGCCCCUUAGUGCUGCAGCUAACGCAUUAAGCACUCCGCCUGGGGAGUACGACCGCAAGGGUG